AUUGAACGCUGGCGGCAUGCUUUACACAUGCAAGUCGAACGGCAGCGCGGGCUUCGGCCUGGCGGCGAGUGGCGAACGGGUGAGUAAUACAUCGGAACGUGCCCAGUAGUAGGGGAUAGCUCGGCGAAAGCCGGAUUAAUACCGCAUACGACCUGAGGGUGAAAGCGGGGGAUCUUCGGACCUCGCGCUAUUGGAGCGGCCGAUGGCAGAUUAGCUAGUUGGUGGGGUAAAGGCCUACCAAGGCGACGAUCUGUAGCUGGUCUGAGAGGACGACCAGCCACACUGGGACUGGGACACGGCCCAGACUCCUACGGGAGGCAGCAGUGGGGAAUUUUGGACAAUGGGCGAAAGCCUGAUCCAGCAAUGCCGCGUGUGUGAUGAAGGCCUUCGGGUUGUAAAGCACUUUUGGCGGGAACGAAAAGGACUGUGCCAAUACCACGGUUCGAUGACGGUACCCGCAGAAUAAGCACCGGCUAACUACGUG
rnacentral:rRNA from 1 species